UACGUAGGGUGCAAGCGUUGUCCGGAAUUAUUGGGCGUAAAGAGCUCGUAGGCGGUUAGUCGCGUCUGCUGUGAAAACUCGGGGCUUAACUCCGGGCCUGCAGUGGGUACGGGCUGACUAGAGUGCGGUAGGGGAGACUGGAAUUCCUGGUGUAGCGGUGAAAUGCGCAGAUAUCAGGAGGAACACCGGUGGCGAAGGCGGGUCUCUGGGCAGUAACUGACGCUGAGGAGCGAAAGCGUGGGGAGCGAACAGG
rnacentral:rRNA from 1 species